rnacentral:lncRNA from 1 species
AUAACUUCGAUGACUGUUACUUCUGCUGUGUUCAUUUGCGUGGUAUCGGUGUUAAAAAAAUGAUUUAUGCAAACAUACAAUCGACUAAAAGACCUUCACCACAUUCGAAGGAAGUACCUGGGACCCGAUUCUCCUAAGUUAAUAAUGUCAAUAGUUCAAAUCGAAUAGAAAUUGAAUCGCUAUAUGAUCGCAAUAGCAGUUUUAACCAUAUCGGGCAUUCUGCUACUAAUAUAAGACCAAUCGUAUUCCAACGACAUUUGAUUGAAGUUCAGACAACCUGUAUCAAGAACUGCAGAGCAGAGUAAAAAGUUAUAAUAUCUCCGUAUGGUAGCUGCUCUAGGUAACUUCCACCCACCUUUGUUAAUAAAAAUUGUCGACCCACAUCCAGUCUCUGUUUUAUCGUCAGCGCAAAUGACUCGUGGAAGUAACUUCAGCAGAAUUUUGUUCAUUGUUGAUAUCGUCACAUUAAAGAUUGCAACACAUGCCUACCUACUUACAAUUUGACUAACCGCUACGACUACUUUUCUUGAAUAAACAACUACUUGAAAUCCGUCAGGUGCCAUCAUCAUUCGUUUACUGUUUAUUUACAGGUUUAGAUAUUAUGUAGAUUCAUUUUCUUUGUGAUAAUACCUACCACAAAAUUCAAGAAAUAGUUUUGUUUUGUAGGUAUACAACCUAGCUAAAUAUUUAUGCUCACCCAGCCAUAGUCGAUGGUAAUGUCUGAUGGUGUUCAAAUUGUCAGUUUAAAUUCAAGUAACAAUGUUUCUUUAUAUAGUUUCAUUUUGUAGUUGUGAUGAGCCAGAACUCAAAUCUAAUUUCAACGACGACACGUUUCCCAGUUCUGAUCAAAUUUGGGGAAUGAUAGGAACUAUAUUAGCAACAGUCGCGUGUUGGGUUGUGUAUACAAAGAUAAGGGUCGGCAGAAAAAGGUAUCAAGAUCAUCACAAUAUCAUGCCUUGCAAGCCAAGGGUCACCCGCAGAGGACACAUGUCAUAAUAAGCAUAUAAAUUAAACCAUUUAGUACUCUAUAGAAAUAUAUCUUUAUUCCUAAAAAUAA